UUUUUUUUUUAUAAUUUGAAAACCGAGUAACAAGAACCGCAGGAGGACCGAUCGAGCCUCAGCUCGCCAAAUCGGAUCACCUCGAUCUCGACCUCUCCAAGUUCGUUUUCCUAUAAUUUCUUCUUCAUCUUUUUUAUUUUGCUCGUAGAUUUGUGGACGAUGUUAUGAGAUUGAGAUUGUGGUUGAAUUUUACAGUGAUAUCAAAGGAAUUAUGUCGGCACUGCACCAGAUCCAAGAGAAAGCUCACAAGGACGGGCUUAAGAAGAACGAAGAGACCAUUUCAAGGUGAGCCGAAUCUAUCGGUCUGGUCCAGUUUGAUUAUCGCGGAAAUUCGAAUAUCGUUUCUUUGCGAGAUUAAUUCGAUUGUCAUUGUUUUAUUGCUUAGUUUUCCAUUUCGUUUACAAAUUGCAAUAAACUCUGAAAAUUGAAGGUACAAUUGCUUGCUUAUUUGUGUUAGUUCUGAUAGAAUUUACAAUAUGAAUCUUUAAUUUAAUUUGUGAAUCCUGAUGAACGAUCUUUUUUUAAGCUUUAUAUGAAAUGUUCAAACAGCUACUAAUUUAGGCAUUUGGAUUUGAUGCCUUUUGUAUUCUUCAAUUGUCAGACAAAGUUUCGCUGCUAGCAUGUUCAAGAGACCUAAAUAUUCUGAUAACUUCAUUAAAAAUUUGUCAAACGAGGUCUGUGAAAGGAGAAGAAAAGAGCAAAAACCAUAGAUGAUCCUGCGGAGAAAUUUGAAUUUCUAGUUAAUUUGUUUUGAUGCCCGAAAUUUUUAUUCUGAUUACUAAUUUGGUUGUAUGUAAUAUAUGUCUGCAGUGUGAGAAUUGCUUGAGACUGAAACUGCCAAGUUCCAAGGACUCUAUGAGAAGUUUUGCAAGGACCAAGCCAACCAUCUACAGGCCUUGAAAGGUAGUUCCUUACAGUUUUGUAAUUGCAUCUGAUUUCUCUUCAUACUAUUAAGCGUUUCUGUGUAACUGGAUUGUAAUUGUAAUUAAUAGCAUAAAUUCAAUUAGACAGGUAUUUACCUAAUCAGCAACUAGCUUAUUUGUGUGCAUAUAGUGAUUUAGCUAAGUUUCUUUUCAGCAACUAGCAUUUUUGUCUGCACACUUUCGGUUUUGGAUUUAUGGAUACGAAGCCUCUGCUUUUUUAUACUCUGCACACAGAACAUGACAUUGUGGACUGUCAUCUUAUGCAUGUAGCCCCUUUAGUUUGGCUCCAUUUUCCAGUAACAAGUAAAAUUUAAGAGUAUCAUAUCAAAACUGCAGAACAGGCCUUGCAAUUAUUAGCUAAUAUAACCCAUCAACUCUGUUGAGCAUUGUUGUUCUAUUUGACACGACAGGCAUCAUUUCCAACUAUGAAGAAGAGAAUUGAAGGCUCUGCACAUGAUAUGAACAACUGAGUAACCAACAAAACUCCUUUACUCCUCCUUAUAGUGAAAUCGAAUACGCCAAAAUUUUCUGAUGGGUUGAUGUCAUGUCAGGAAAGAUAAAAAAAGGAGUCUGAUGAUGAGAAAGCCUGUACUGAUAAAAUUGCUAAACUGGAAGAGUCCUUGAAAAAGAAGAAGCAGGUACUACCCCUCUCUCUCUCUCUCUCUCUCUUCCUUGAAAAAUAAAAUGAAGCUUGUACUGAUAUCUCCAUGUAUAUAUAUUUGUGCAAACAUGUCUCAAAACCACAUUUUCUGUUUAUAAACUCAGGAUGACAGAACUUUCAGCUUUCUGAGAAAGACUCUUGGCUCAUUUACGAAGAACCUUGUCUAUAUAUGGGGGAAACUUCAUUUCCCAGGUUUUUAUUUUUAUUUUUGGAGAGGAGUGUUGGGAUCAGUUUGUAUGAUAAAUGGUAAACUGUUCUCAGGAAUUUAUUCAUUUCCCAUGAAAUCCAGAUUUAUCCCAGAUGUUUGUAUAAGAUGAGAUAUCACGACGGUCACCGUUGUCUAUUUUGUGUCGUGAUUUAACUAUUUUGUAGUAGUGGG
rnacentral:lncRNA from 1 species